rnacentral:lncRNA from 1 species
AGAAUUAGCUCUGGUCCCACUAAAAGCAGGAGGAAUAAUUAAUUUUGUCUUUGAUUUUGUAUACAGAUUUUGUGUUUUCUCUCUGUUGCUGUCACCGUGUGAUGAAGCAGUAGCUCCCAACCUUUUCUGUGCUGCUCUCAGCUUUGUUUGUAGCUGGUAAACAAGAAACAGUAAUAUGCUUCCCUGUGGUAAUUGGAUUAAGGACAAGGCCUCCCUCUUUGUUUAAUAUUUCUGAGAAAAGCUGCCAAGGAUUAAAGCAAGAGCUUCCCGUGGUGAAAUCCUGCCCAGUCCCACGCUGGCUUUGCACACACACAAGGCUCAAUCUCUGCUGGAAUCCCAGUCACAGCCCCCAGAUCAAUGUGCAGUUUAAGGUCUCACAGCCUGACCAGGACAAUCUCUUUCCUCUGAACAUGGAAAAUCAGUUUUUCAUUGUUACAGCACCAGCUCAAGGUAAUUAUGAAGUGGUGUAAUGGUUUUUAAGUUGUGCACAUGGAGGAAAUUCACUGCAGCAGCCAACACUGCUCUGCCUUCACGGGCAACCCUGUGGGUUUGGGAUCUUGAAUUGUGGGUGUGAAAUCUCCUCACAGAAUCUUCUGAGGCUGAAACAAAGACAAGGAACCUUCUGAGAUGGAAAGAGCCAGAGCAAGUUGUUGUGGGAAAGGAAAAUUAAAGAUGGAUGUGGGCCAUGACAUGAAUUGGCUCCAACAGGGCCCAAGAUCCCUGUGGGGUCUGUGGCAGGGACAACUCCCAGAGCUGGACAGGGAAGGGAACCUUCACCCACACUCCCAAAAGCUGAGAAAGAAAAACACCUGCCUGCAGCUGGCUGCAGCUCCUGGAGCUCUGGGGAUUCUGGCACACUCAGGGACAUGGGAUGAUGCCACAAUCAUUCAAACCUUGGGAAUAAUGGAAUUAAUACCACCCCUUGAGCCUGUUCUAGGCAGGCUCCUGCCCAUCAGCCACUGGCUGCAGAUGGCUGGAGUGGAAGUGGAAUUGAUGGAGGCAUCCAGGAAAUGCUGAUUGUUUUUUUCUCACUUUGGCAAUCUGGUCAGGAAAAAUACGAAUUGACCUCUUCCAGCAGCGAAACAUUUAAGCAAGAGGUGCUGAAAAGAAUUGGAGUUUCUGAUUUUAAGUCUCCAACUUGAAAUUGUCUUUGGAUUGCCACUGGUCCAAGUUUCAUGGACUGGUCACUGUGGCCAGGAGUGUCCAAUCCUGCUGGGAAUGCACUGGACCAGGAUGUCAUUUUCACUUUAUACAGGUAAAGACCCUCUGGGUGACCCCUAGUGACUGGAAGGACCAGACUGGGCUCCCAUGGCACUAAUUCCAGGUGUUCUGUUUUUGGGAAUAGCACAGGAGCCUUUCCCUUACCCAGAGGAGCAGCCAGUGCCUUCCUUAGUCCAUAAAUCCCCAGGAUGGACCACAGAGAAAAUAACAGGAAUGUGGAAAUCCCCCACACAGGGAGUUUGUGGUGCUCUGGAUUACAUUUUGGAUUUAAAAUGUUAAAGAUGGGGUGUGGAAUGGCUUCUUUUUAUUGUCAUUGUUGUCACUGCUCUUGUUGCUAUCACUGUUAUCCACAGUUAUCACUGCUAUCACUGUCAGCAAUAUUAAAAUAUUGUAUUUGUCUUGGUUUCUGUUAUUAAACUGUUCUGAUCUCACCCCCUGAGCUGGAUUUUUGUCUCUGGUCUCUUCCCCAUCCCACGGGGGCGGGGGGUGAGGGAGCUGCUGGUGGUGCCCAGCUGUGUCUGCCCAUGGCCCGGGGCACUCCUGGAGCCUCUGAAGAUGAUGGACUGGAGCAGUUUUGGGGCUCAGAGGGACACCCAGUGCUGUAUUUGGGCUCAAAACUGGGCUCAUUUGACCAAGUACAGAAAUAGACAUGGGGGGUUUGAAACCAGGGUGCCUCAGACAGCAU